rnacentral:rRNA from 1 species
GGCGACGUAGGGCGGGGGUGAAAGCCCAGGGCUCAACCUGGGAAGUGCAUCCGAAACGGCGUUGCUGGAGUACGGAAGAGGAAGGCGGAAUUCCCGGUGUAGCGGUGAAAUGCGUAGAUAUCGGGAGGAACAUCAGUGGCGAAGGCGGCCUUCUGGUCCAGUACUGACACUCAAGUGCGAAAGCGUGGGGAGCAAACAG